AGUGUUUGGGUGAAGACGGAGGCGGGUUCUGGACAGACCUACGCUGUCGGGGAGUGUUUACUUCGCCUCCACUUCUGUUCCUCCCCGCCCUGGUGCUGCUCCAGGUCACAUACUCUUCCUGAGCCGGCUUCAGCCUCUCCGCGCAGAAGUCUCCCGGAGCCAUGGCCUAGUAUUCUUAUGUGAAGUCUACCAAGCUUGUGCUCAAGGGAACCGAGGUGAAGAGCUGGGUCCUGCAGCUCCGGCGGGAGCCUCCUCAGUUCUUUUCGGACGCACUCCACCCCCGCGAAUCCGGUGGAAGCCGUGAUGCGGAGAGCCGGCUUCGUGGCCUCCCAGGCUUCGCUCUGACCCUGUCUGGGCUGGAUGGAGGCCGGACCGCCCUUCCUGGCGCCUGUGCAGAGAGGGGCAGCCUCCUGCGCGGACGACCCUGGAAACAGGAUAGACGGGCGGGUGACCCGUGACCCCGUACCCACGAGUUUGGGUCCCUUGAGGCAUCUCUCCAGGCCUCUGCCUGAUUUGCCUGAGGUUGACUGUACAUGCAAAUAUUGAGCUUUCCUCCUGGCCUCCGUGAUAAACAGAAGUUUUGAUAUUGUUAGGCGAGAUGGAAAGAAAGUAUCAAGGAGUGAGCUGAAGCCACUGCCCUUGAGAACCCUCUCGAGGAGUCUGGCCUCAUGAAGAUGCCAGAAUAAAUGGCAGUAAGAAGAAAAAGAGCAAAGAUAAGAAGAGAAAAAGAGAAGAUGAAGAAACCCAGCUUGAUAUGUUGAAUCGCCCUGAAACCUGGCUAUGGAAAAUAUCUUAGUAUAAAUUCAGAUGAACUUGUUGUUGGCGUUCAGAUGCAAUUGGACCAAGAGAACAAUGGGAACCAGUCUUUCAAAAUGGUGCCUGUGCAGCAGUAUUCACUGUGAUAGGAAGUGAGAAGCAGUCUGAGUGUUCAUUGCUGAGGGAAUCAAGGGCAAAAUAUCAUGGAUGCACUCAUGGACAAAUAAGCAGCAGUUUGAAGCAACACCCUAGAUGGAUGUACAGCCAUCAAGAGGAUCUUAAAGUGUGGUCUUUAGUGGAAAAAAAGCUUAUUUUGGGAGAGGCCAGCUGCCAUGUCAUGAAGACACUCAAGAAGCCCUGUGAAGAGGAAGCAAGGCCUGCCAACAACAGCCAGCACCAACUUUCCAGCCAAGGGAUUGAGCCAUCUCACAGUGGAUCCUCCAGCCCCCACCAAGCCUUCAUAUGACCAAACCAAUACCAACAUGUAACUGUGACCUCAUGUGAGUCCCCAAGCCAGAAUACCCAUCUCCUGUCUCAGAAAUGAUGAGAAAUAAUAAAUAUAUGUGCUCACACACAUUA
rnacentral:lncRNA from 1 species